ACCAAAUUGAUUAAAAUGUAUUAAAAAAUAAAAGGGAGUGUAAGUGUUGAAAAGGGGAGUGGGGAAAUCAGCUCCCUUGAAUAAUGAAAGGCCUCUAAGUGGGCUUGUGUAAUUAUACAGUGGGGUUAAUGUUGCUGCACCAGUUGAGAAGAAGAGCAGAGUUGGAGCAACCUCAGUAACAACAGUUCAAGAGGCUCAAACUAUAAGUCCUGGAGUCAAUUUGAGGGUUCAACAGGCCAAAAAUGCUGCAGUGGCACAAGCACAACAAGAUGGUGCCACUGGAAACUUUAGGAUCUUUGAUUCACCCUUUGGGAAUUAUCUUGUUCCAGUUGUUCCAACUUCCAAGGAACUGUCUGACUAGUUUCAUAUCAAAUCAUAUGUCUUGAGUUCUAAAUUGCUGUACAUGCAGAAGUUUUGUUUGGAGAUGUAUGACUUGCAAGUAUUCAUUACCAAUUUUGCUUCUUCUGCUGCUGUCUCUGUGUGCUGCCUUGUUUUUCUGCUCCUUCUGCUGUGCAUUGUUUUGUUGCUGUUGUUGUUCCUGUGGAUAAGGCCGGUGGCGUCUGGCUUUUUCUAUUGUAGCUUGUUUCAGUCAACAAUGUAUUUCAGACUUGCAAAAGAGGAUAAAGCUUUUAUUGACUUGAUCAA